UGAGCAAUCUGCCCUUCACAUCGGAAUAAGCGUUGGAAACGACGUCUAAUGCCGAAUACGACCUCCUUUCACAUGAUCGGAGGUGGAAAGCUCCGGCGGAGAAGGAUGAGCUCGCGGCCUAUCAGCUAGUUGGUGUGGGUAACGCCCACCAAGGCGACGACGGGUAGCCGGCCUGAGAGGGUGACCGGCCACACGUGGGACUGAGACACGGCCCAGACCUCCGUACGGGACGG
rnacentral:rRNA from 1 species